GAUUUAGUGCUCAGUGUUUAGUUAAUUUCAAGUAUUCACUUAUCCUUUACUUUUUUUCUUUUUUUACAUAAAUUGGGGUUCCAGCUCAUCAAACCCAUGGAAACAGAACUUCAAUCUGUCCAAAGUUUUUAAGACAUGAAUGUUUUAAAUUGAGUUUAUCCAACUAAUCAUCUACUAAACUCAAAGCACCUGCACAGGUGUCACAGAGAAGUUCAGUUUGGUUUAGUUGUCUUAGCUGGGCUUAAUAUGGGGAUGACUACAGAUCUGACGACCAGCCAAAAGACCAACUAUGAUCUCCUCCAUAGUCUGGGUUAGCCACUAAAGUUCAUAGCUGAGAAGGCUGGCUGUUCACAGAGUGCUGAGUCCAAAGCAGAUCAAUGGAAAGUCUAAUGGAAGGACAAAAUGUGAGCCACUGUGGGCUUCAGCGGAUCAUCAAAAGGACAAGAUUCAAGAACCUGGAAGACAUCCAGAAAGAGUGGAAUAAGGUCAGGAAACUUCUGGGCCUGGGCCAACAGGGGAAACGUCUGUACUGGGCCAAGGAGAAGAAGGACUGGAGUUUUGGCCAGUGGUCCAAGGUCCAAUUUUCGGAUGAAAGCGAAGUGUGUCUUUCAUUUGGGAAUCAAGGUCCAAGCGUUUGGAUGAAGACUGGUGAGGGGCAGAACCCAAGCUGCUGGAGCUCCAGUGUGAAAUCUUUAUAGUCAGUCAGGAUUUGGGGUCCAAUGUUCAGCGCUGGUGUUGGUAUACUCUGCUUUCUUUAAUCCAAGAUUACUGCAACAGUCUAGGAGGAUGUUUGUGAGGACUUCAGGAUUUCUCCUGGGGAUCUGGAUCUCCAUCCAGAUUUUGAAUUCCAGCAGGACCUGACCCCUGUAUACUAUUGAAGUACUGAUAAUGGACCGAUUAUUUUGAAAAUACCAAAUUUGGUUGAUUUGAUGUGAUCGUAAUCCUGUGUUUGUUGGUUUUUAUAAGGUAUGACACCAAUAUAUGCUAAAAUAAAACAGAUACUUGAAAUCCAA